rnacentral:rRNA from 1 species
ACUCAAAUGAAUUGACGGGGGCUCACACAAGCGGUGGAGCAUGUGGCUUAAUUCGAGGCUACGCGAAGAACCUUAUCCUGGGCUUGACAUGUGCGAAAGCGGCAGGAAGUAGCCCGCGGAAACGUGGGGCCAACGGUAUCCAGUCCGGAACCUGCUACAGGUGCUGCAUGGCUGUCGUCAGCUCGUGUCGUGAGAUGUCGGGUUAAGUCCCAUAACGAGCGAAACCCUUGCCCUUAGUUGCCAGCGGGUCAUGCCGGGAACUCUAAGGGGACUGCCGGUGUUAAACCGGAGGAAGGCGGGGAUGACGUCAAGUCCUCAUGGCCUUUAUGCCCAGGGCUGCACACGUGCUACAAUGCGGCAUACAAAGGGAAGCAAACCCGCAAGGGGGAGCCAAUCUCAAAAACUGCCGCCCAGUUCAGAUCGCGGGCUGCAACUCGCCCGCGUGAAGUUGGAAUCGCUAGUAAUCGCGGAUCAGCAACGCCGCGGUGAAUGUGUUCCUGAGCCUUGCACACACCGCCCGU